GGCCCAUGCCCGCAUGCCGUCUUCAAUCUCCUCAAAGCUCGCUGCCCUCUGACGUUCUCCUUGCUAUCAUGAUCGAAGCGCUGCCAUCCGAAGCUCCGCUUCCCGCCUCCAUUGACGGAGUGGCUGGAGGCUUGAGGUUGGUAGCAAUCUGGAGAUGCAUCCAGGACGGUGUAGGCUGGCCAUCCACUCCGUAACCAUGGCAGCGCGCCUUCGCGCACCCAAAUACGCAUCUCCUCGUCUUAAAGGCAACUGUAGGUUUGAUUUCCUAUAUCUUUUUUGCAGGGGUGAUUUCCUAUAACCUUAACCAUAUGAUUAGCGUUGUCAAAUAGUCAUUCGAGAACAUAUUUCAAUUCCUCUUCUCUCUUCAUGUUCUUCAGAUCCUAAUUAGUAUGGUCAUCUUCCAGUUUUGCUAAUGCAUAUAUUUCUUUGUGCGCACAUUCUCAGGAUACCACAAUCUGCUCACCAAUUUUAUUACUUUGCAUUCUUCAUUUUAGUUCCUUGCAAAUCGGUUAUUGUAUAGGUUUGAAAAGUAUCCAAUCCCUAUUGACAUUUCCUCACUACGCCCAGUAGGCCGCCCAUACUCCUGACAGCAGGUUUGUUCUUUGUUUCAGAAGUUGUUGUGCUCCCAGAUUCCGGAUUUCUGUACUCGAGCUGCUCACAGGGUGUGUGCGAAAGCUAUCUGCAAAAAAUGUCUUCCGGGCAGGUGUUCCAGGCUUCAGCCAGCUAGUGUUGUGGAUUGAUGCAUUGUUGGUUUCUACUCGCCUCCACAGAUGUACAAGCCUUAGUCCGUUGGUGCUGCUCUUUCUUGUUUACUACAGCAACCAGGUGAAACAAAUAUAAAAACUUGCUGCCUGAAAGGAUUGUACACUGGAAUCUCCCUUGAUGUUAUUCUUUUCCACCUUCAUUUUUUUUUUGCAUUCUAUAUCAGUAUAUCGAGG